rnacentral:rRNA from 1 species
CCUACGGGAGGCAGCAGUGGGGAAUAUUGGACAAUGGGCGAAAGCCUGAUCCAGCAAUGCCGCGUGAGUGAUGAAGGCCUUAGGGUUGUAAAGCUCUUUUACCAGGGAUGAUAAUGACAGUACCUGGAGAAUAAGCUCCGGCUAACUCCGUGCCAGCAGCCGCGGUAAUACGGAGGGAGCUAGCGUUGUUCGGAAUUACUGGGCGUAAAGCGUACGUAGGCGGUUAUUCAAGUCAGAGGUGAAAGCCUGGAGCUCAACUCCAGAACUGCCUUUGAAACUAGAUAGCUAGAAUCUUGGAGAGGUGAGUGGAAUUCCGAGUGUAGAGGUGAAAUUCGUAGAUAUUCGGAAGAACACCAGUGGCGAAGGCGACUCACUGGACAAGUAUUGACGCUGAGGUACGAAAGCGUGGGGAGCAAACAGGAUUAGAUACCCUGGUAGUCCACGCCGUAAACGAUGAUAACUAGCUGUUCGGGCUCUACGAGCUUGAGUGGCGCNGCUACGCAUUAAGUUAUUCCGUCCGUCGGGGUAGGUACGGUCGCGAGAAUUAAACUACAAGGAAGUUAGUACGGCGUGAGACGUGCCGACGGACGACGACGAGGGAGGUUAGG